ACAUCUUUCUGUGUGUUCAUUCUGUGUGUUUUUCUGUUUCUGCAGUGGAUCUCUGCAGCAGGCGAGACGCUGACUGUGUCUGUUUAUUACCCGUCUGGCUACAUUUGGGUCAGUCCAUACCAGGCGAUCCCGGUUCUGACACACUAUGUUAUUCCAGUGCCUCUUAAAACAACUGGAUCUGAGAGGACAACAACUCCAAGACCAUUCCUGACCACCACACAAAAACCGGCCCCACCAGGCCCUGUGACCUCUGAACUUCCCACUGUGACCCCAGCCACGCCCACUGUGAGCCCGCCAGGCCCAGUGUCUACAGCCACGCCCACUGUGAGCCCAGCAGGCCCUGUGUCUACAGCCACGCCCACUGUGAGGCCACCGGGUCCUGUAAUUACAGCCACGCCCAAUGUGACCUCUGAGCCUCCCACCACAGCAACCCGGCGAGGAGACAACUGAGGUGUCGCUAACAUUUUCAGACAAAAAUGGGAAACUUUUGUUUUGCAUGUUCGUGUACACCAUAACGAAAUGCAUAAGAAGAAAAUGCAUAAAAUAAAAGUGGAAAAAUGUUACAAAAUUCCUUUGUUUUUUUGUGUCCUUGUAAACUAAACACCUGAAAGUCUUAAUGACAUCACAUUUUAAAUAAAACAUUAAUAGAUGGACAUGGACAGAUUGUUUUUGUGUAAAAGUUAAUAUUUUUAUAAAGGACACAUGAUAAAAAUCAUCAUUUGAAAGCUGUUUGGACAGAGCUGAGUGCAGGUAUAGUGUGUCCACGGUCAUUUUGGAGUGAUAUAAACACAAAGGGCUCUAUUUUGACGGUCCAUGCGCAGAGCGCAAAACGCAGGGCGCAAACGCUUUCAGGGCGUGUCAGGACGCAUUUUUGCUAAUUUAAGGACGGGAAAUCUGCCUUGCGCUGUGGCGCAUGUUCUAAAAGGGUUGAGUUUAUUUUCUUAAUGAGUUAUAGGUGUGUUUUGAGAAUAAACCAAUCAGAGUCUCAUCUCCCAUUCCCUUUAAGAGUCAGCUGCGUCACGCCAAGAGCGCAUUCACUAUUUACAGGAAGCAAAGUAAGUCUAAGUGGAAAAACUGAGCAUUUCACAAGCAAACAGUUCACAGAAAACUGUUAAACAGAGCAUCUCCUGCGUGACAAUGAGAGAUAAUGGAUCUACUUUCACUUUCGCUCUUGGAUAGGGAAACCUUUACGCACAGACAUCAAUUAGUCUAUAAAUAAUUAAUUGCGUUUGUUAAGCGCAAAUAUUCGUUUCAAAACUAUUUCUAAAUUCAGUUCUAAUUUCCAGCAAACGAAUAAAUGAACAAUAAUAACAAAAUGUGCUCAAAAACCUGAGUUCUAUCCUAAAACACAUGCUGUGCCCCAUAUGGUCUAAAACCUGACAGGUGGACAAAUCUAAGCUUGUUUUUAAUAAAACAAAUAUAAAUAUGGAUAUAAUAAAUAAUACUGCUAAUAAUAAUAACAUUAUACAGAAGCAAAAUGAAUGAACUGAAAAAGCCUCCUGAGAUGAAGAAGACAUAAAAGCAGUGGUUUUUCAUAUUUAUGUAGGCUAGAAAAUAAUAUGUUUUGUAAUAUUUUAAUCCUUUAUAUUUAUAUUCUAUAUCUAUUCUUAUUAUAUCCUAUAUAUAUCCCUAAUAUUUACAUUUUUCAUAUGUAAAGAUAUUUGCCUAUUGCUCUCUUGUGUGUAUUAAGCAGUGUGUAAACAAAUUGCGCUGGAGUUUAGACCGGGUUUGUUUUGGUCUAUUGAAAAAUCUAUUUUAGUUUCUCAAAAUAGCAACGCACCAGCGGUCCACCUCAGAACGCCUUCCUUUAUAGACCAGCAUGAUAUGGGUGCACAUAUGUGCGCUAAUGCAUUUGCUAUUUAAACAGCGUAGCGCAACGCCUCAAAACCACUCUUGCGCCAAGCUGAAACUACCAAACAAGUAUUGCGUCGCGCCUUGCGCCACAUUGCGCCGGGUGUAUGAUAGGGCCCAAUAAGUCUCUUUUUCUUUUUUAAAUCUCCUGAUGUUAAAAUAGGAUCUAAAUCCCUUCGAUUUUGAGGCCCACCGCAUCGUGACGUAGGAGUGCGGUUUCCCCGCCCAAUGAUUUGAUUGACAGCCGCGUAUCAACAUGUC
rnacentral:lncRNA from 1 species